AAUAGAUGAGGCCGUUAACUUUUUCUCACAUGUUUGACCAUUCGUUUUAUUCAAAAAAAUUUACGUAAUUAUAAUUUAUUUUUGUUAUGAGUUGUUUUAUCACUUAUAGUAAUUUAAAUGUGAUUUAUAUCUUAUACAUUUGUAUAAAAUUUUUGAAUAAGAUGAAUGGUCAAACAUGUGAGAAAAAGUCAAUGGCGUCAUCUAUU
rnacentral:pre_miRNA from 1 species